CUUGAUAUAUAAAAUAACUUACCGUAACGUUUCAGUUUUAAUAUAAAAAAAAAAAUCCUUAUAGCUACUGCGAUUUCUAUAAAUUACACAUUUAAAAGAAACUUUAUCAGCAUGAUAUUAAAGUUGUUUUUUGUUCUGACAAUAGUCACAGUAAUAAAUGCAAGACCCGAAGAAACACAACCAGCAACCGUCGAAACCAUUCAAGAGGCUGCCGAACCUCCACUAGGAUAUCCGGUCGUAAACCAAGUGACUACAUUGAACCCACCAGGAAUCGUCG